GGGCAAGGGUUUAAAUUUUAAAGCCCGAAUUUGUAAUGAAAACUCUAAUUCUAGUCAUUUCUUCUUAUUUCGUUGCACUAGUCUGAAUAUACUAAUUGAUAUGCAAGGUUUUGCACCUGAAUUGUCAAUUAGGUCGUUAGGGGUUAGGAAUUGGGAUAAUUAUAUCCAAGUUAAUUAUGGAAGCUCAUAAGUAACUUCUCUUAUCUAUUCAUAGUAUUCACUUGUCCUGAACAUAUCAGCACCACUCCAUUAGUGCUCCAUCCAAAUUUCCAGUGUUGCAUAAUCAGUCAAAGUUUCUCUUUAUGUUUGUCUGGUACACUAUUAAGUUCUCUUCAUCCCUUCAAUGCAGAUUUUCUCAUACUAUUUUUCACAGAGGCUCUCUUCUACUGUGGUGUUGCAAUUUUUCUUUUCCUUAUUCACUCUCUGCGUAGCCCCGCUAAAAGUGUUCCUGUUGCCAGCAGUUGUGGAAAGCUAACCACUCAGAUGGGGAGUCGUAUAUCUUCAGUUGCUAUUUUGAUGCUUAGACAGCUUAGUCUUAUUAUUCCAAUGGUGACAAUGGUUUUGUUUGGCCGUGGACUGGUCCUGCAGCAUCAGCUUCUCUAGCUCCUUACUUGGUUGGUAUUGUUGUACAGUUUGCAUUCGAGCAGUAUGCAAAAUAUACGAAAUCACCUUCCUGGGCCGUCAUUCUAGUUGUAUUUCAGGUGUGACUCAUAUGGGUGGAGACAUGUUCAAAUUGAUUCCUUCUGGUGAUGCAAUCUUCAUGAAGUUUUCCCCUGGUGACCCAAGCAAGUUCAUGGUUACUAU